UCCUGCAAGAACAAAAUUAUUCUUUAUUAAUACACUAUUUAUUUCUUUCUUUUAUUAAUAACUAAUUAUUUUAACAUUAUAAGCAUCUUUAACUCUUAAAUGGUGAAUAGCAAUCUAGAAGACUUUGUUGUGAUAUAGUGUUUUUAGUUCCACGUACCGGAAGUUGUGGUAUUACUAUUAAUACGAAAAUGAAAACCUGCUGAUUCGAACAUUUUCAGAUGGCAAAUUUCAGAUAAUUUUCGAAAUGAAAAAAUUGUAUUCUUUAUGGUAAAAAUAUAGUACAUCCUGUUACAUAAACUUUAACAAAGCAUACGAAGUAAAAUAUUUGAGCUUUCCUACGGUGGUACGAAUAAAAACUUUUUCCCAAAAAUUCACGCUAGAGGUUGAAUUCUAUUUUAAAAUAUAACGUGUACAGACGCUGAAAUAAUAUGUAAUAAUAACUAAUACAAGAGCGUGCGAAGCGUACAAGAAUUCAUUCCAUUCCCAGUGAAUACAUUCCAUCCGAAUUAUUAUUAUCUUGCUAAACCUAGAACGGUCGAUAGCUCCGCAGUCGUUGUGACUCAAAGUCGAGCCGAGUCGAACCGAGAAGAGUCGAAUCAAACCGAACUGGACUGUGUAGUUUUGUAGCGCGUCAACGCGUAAAAAGGGCAAGUGCGAAGCGAUAGAUCACACCAAUAAAAGGAUUCUAUGUAUGUAUGUCUCGACUAGAAAGUCUUUCUUUCAUUUCAAUACUUUUCCGCCUAAUUAUGUCAACUAACGGUGACGAACAAUUUUAAAUUGAAUUCUCAUAUCUACUACAACGAUAAAAACGAAUGCAUAGACGAAGAUAUCAUCAAAUCAAUAGUACUAUACAAUGUGCAUAACUUAUUCACGUUGCACAUUCAAUGGACCAUUUGUAGUAUCAAACUUAAUGUAUAAACAUAAUGCGAAAUAAAAUCUAUUGUCUAUCUAUUGCAAGUAAAAUAUGCAAAUUGGAUUAAAUUUAUAUUUAGCAAUAGAAUGAUGACUUCAGGAUUGGUUGAAAAUAAUUUUUGCAAUUCUACCGCUGAAGUAACAAAGUACCGUCGCAUUCAUUGUAACGCUCUAUCAGAGUCGUAUUUGUUGAAAAUUUUACUUGUUAAUAUAAGAAAACUUUCACCGUACUUUUUUCCUUAUCGGUUGCAUCAAAUUUACACGUAUCAGGUAUUUCAAAUAUAUAAAAGAAUAUGUAAGUAUGUUGAAAUGCAGCCCUAACGUUUGCUAACGUUUUCAUGGUUAACUGGAAAUAUGGACAGUGUGAUCUGUAUAUAUUGAGUGUAUCGCGUGAAAACAGAAGUGACGCAAUUGUUAGUAAGAAUUGUUGAAAAUAAAAAUGAAAAAGAUAUUCUUCCAAUACAACAGAUUUAUUUUAAUGUAAAAUAAAAUUAUAUUACAUUUCACAACCAUCUUACAAUUCUAAAAAAUGUAUAGCUUUUUUUAAACGAUACAAGAGCCUUUCGAGCACAAACGAAUUUGACGCCUUUGUAAGCAAUAAAUAUCUAAAUGAUAUACAAAAAUAUUGAACGUAGCAAUUACCGGUGGAAAUUUUUUUCUUAUUUUUUAACAUCUAAAAUUCGGAAAAUUUAAAAGAAAUAUUCUAUGUAAACAUAUGACUCAUAAUUUAUAUAGUUUUAGUUAUUUUAAAUUUGUAUACACAAAGAACACUCAGAAAACAAUUUCAAGAACUCUAAGAUAGCAAAAACUUUGACACAGAAAGAUAACGAAAAUAAGAAUAAUAUAAAAGAGUAUUAAAUUUAGUUGAAAAGAAGGAGAUCUUUGAAAUUUAAAAAAAGUUUAUUCCAUGGCAUCCAAAGAAUAAUGACAAACUUUGAUCUGUAAGGUUUUUAUUCGUAUCGUUUCUAUGAAUCAAGAUAAUUAUGAAUCAUAAGACCGCUACAAAACAUCGUGUCAUUUUCUGAAAGUAAAAAAAGACUAGAAAAUGUUGAUUAAGAUGAAUUGAAUGCAACAAGUUUAGUGUGUGUUGUGUACUUGACAGGUUUAAGGUGGGCAUUUAUAAAAUAUCAAUAUUGCAAUAUCGUGCUGUUCUUUCUAAUCAAAGUACCUCGCAGAUAACUGAUAAAGUACUAUAGAUUCUUCACUUACAUAACAGUGGGCGUGUACUCAAAAUUAAAUAGCCGAUUUAAGACAAUGCAAAAAUAAGCGUCGAAUUUUCCGUACUCGUGUUUCACGGGCUCCGAGAGAAUAACGAACGUGCAGUUGAGGAUGCACAAAGUACCUUCUUCUCUUGAAUUAAUCCAAAAAUAAAACCGAGCCUAAACAUCACUAAUAUUCAACAAAAGUGAUAGUCGGGACGUGUGGCUGUAAUAGCGAAUCGGUAAUUUCGUUACUUGUUCAAAAUAUAAUAUAAUCACUUGCGUUGAAGAUAUUGCAAGAAAACGAAGCCGAUAUAUACGGAAGAACGACACGUCACCAUAGGUUCAACAGUUGCGUUUCCCAACAAUAUGCAUUUCGCAAUUACGACUUGGAGAGUGAAAAGGAUGAAAAAAAAAAAGUAGCAUCGUUAAUUCAUCCAUCUACAAAUACGAUAUUUUGAACAUGUAACAAUUAUAUAACAUACGUACGAUUUUUCUUAUUUUUUUACUUUUUUUUUAAUUAAUCACACGAUGCGUUGUUAUCUUCAAGUUCAUACGAAAAGUGGUCGGAAUAAGAUAUCGCCUAUUAUUAGAUUCGCUAUUUCAGGAUCUUGAAUACCCUCCAGCAUGCUCACAUUGUUCCGGACAGUAUUAUUAAUACCAUUUUUUUGCUAACCGGCGCAGAAAUCACAGGGUAUAUCACUAGAACACAAUGGGGUCUGUUGAGGCAACACCUUUAAAAUCAUUGAAAAAUGAAAUAAGCACGAUGCCCACAGUCUAAAUACGCAGGCAGAGGCAGACACAGCAAUUGUAGCACAGGAAAAUAGCAGAAUAACACUCGGUCGGUAACUUCGCCACCAUAAAGCACUGCGUAAACACGAUAUUUUUAAUAAUCCUUCGAAUAUGGUUAAAUAUAUACACGAAAACUCACAACCACAGUAUGACAGACGAUCAAAUGGAAUGAAACGAAUAAACUACCACGGAUAUGAAUAAACGAAUGAACGAGUGACUAAAGGAACGGAGAACCGAUUAGAACGCACUUCAAGUGUUGCAGAUGAAUACACAUUCGACGAGCACGGGACACAAUAUUGCGGUAAUACAUUUUCAGCUAAAAUGCUAUCGAAUACGUGGUUUCACUCUUGUACACUAUUCAACACUACCACUGUAUAACUGUUUAGGCUUAGAUGCAGGUGCAGAAAUAACCAUUUUCUUUCUUUUCACAAUACCCUUCUCCUUGUUUAUCUUAACCGAAGAAUAAACAAUAACUGGAAAAAGAGGGGGUGAAGACAGAGGGGAAGGGAUAGAAUGCAUUUUAAAAUGUAAUUUAAUAGUAUACGUAUAUAUAUAUUCGACAUACGUAAGAGAAUGAAGUGGAGAAAUUACGUACACUUAACGCAUAUUGUACAAA